rnacentral:rRNA from 1 species
GACGAACGCUGGCGGCGUGCCUAAUACAUGCAAGUCGAGCGCAGGAAACUGACGGAACUCUUCGGAGGGAAGGCAGUGGAAUGAGCGGCGGACGGGUGAGUAACACGUAAGGAACCUGCCUCAAGGAUUGGGAUAACUCCGAGAAAUCGGAGCUAAUACCGGAUAGUUCAACGGACCGCAUGGUCCGCUGAUGAAAGGCGCUUCGGCGUCACCUUGAGAUGGCCUUGCGGUGCAUUAGCUAGUUGGUGGGGUAACGGCCCACCAAGGCGACGCUGCAUAGCCGACCUGAGAGGGUGAUCGGCCACACGGGGACCGAGACACGGCCCAGACUCCUACGGGAGGCAGCAGUAGGGAAUCUUCCACAAUGGACGAAAGUCUGAUGGAGCAACGCCGCGUGAGUGAUGAAGGUUUUCGGAUCGUAAAACUCUGUUGUAAGGGAAGAACACGUACGAGAGGAAAUGCUCGUACCUUGACGGUACCUUACGAGAAAGCCACGGCUAACUACGUGCCAGCAGCCGCCGUAAGAC